rnacentral:rRNA from 1 species
GGUUAAGCGACUAAGCGUACACGGUGGAUGCCCUGGCAGUCAGAGGCGAUGAAGGACGUGCUAAUCUGCGAUAAGCGCCGGUAAGGUGAUAUGAACCGUUAUAACCGGCGAUUUCCGAAUGGGGAAACCCAGUGUGACUCGUCACACUAUCAUUAACUGAAUCCAUAGGUUAAUGAGGCGAACCGGGGGAACUGAAACAUCUAAGUACCCCGAGGAAAAGAAAUCAACCGAGAUUCCCCCAGUAGCGGCGAGCGAACGGGGAGGAGCCCAGAGCCUGAAUCAGCAUGUGUGUUAGUGGAAGCGUCUGGAAAGGCGCGCGAUACAGGGUGACAGCCCCGUACACAAAAGCGCAUGUGCUGUGAGCUCGAUGAGUAGGGCGGGACACGUGGUAUCCUGUCUGAAUAUGGGGGGACCAUCCUCCAAGGCUAAAUACUCCUGACUGACCGAUAGUGAACCAGUACCGUGAGGGAAAGGCGAAAAGAACCCCGGCGAGGGGAGUGAAAAAGAACCUGAAACCGUGUACGUACAAGCAGUGGGAGCACCCUUUGGGGUGUGACUGCGUACCUUUUGUAUAAUGGGUCAGCGACUUAUAUUCUGUAGCAAGGUUAACCGAAUAGGGGAGCCGGAGGGAAACCGAGUCUUAAUUGGGCGUUAAGUUGCAGGGUAUAGACCCGAAACCCGGUGAUCUAGCCAUGGGCAGGUUGAAGGUUGGGUAACACUAACUGGAGGACCGAACCGACUAAUGUUGAAAAAUUAGCGGAUGACCUGUGGCUGGGGGUGAAAGGCCAAUCAAACCGGGAGAUAGCUGGUUCUCCCCGAAAGCUAUUUAGGUAGCGC